UGAUACACGUCCUGCGCGCCGCCUUCGUCGAUCUCGAAGCCACCGUCAUCGACGAAGUCCGCUGCUGCUCCCGCCGCCAACUCUUCCAUCCCGAACAAGGAAGAUGCCGCCAACAACUUCGCCAGAGAUCACUACACCGGUUCCUCCCUCGCACAUUCUCACUCAAUUUCAAUUUAUCUAACCUAUUUUUUCAACCUAAUUUUGAUUUCCCCCAAUUGAAUUUAUUGAAUUUUGUUCGUGAUUACUACAUACCCAACUGGGUCUAACUCAUAUGGGAAGGAGAAACUUCAAUCCUUGAUGCACCUUGUGCAUUUGACCGUGUGCCAAAUUCAGGCUAUUUAGGAUCAGUUUAACAGGCUCGUUUCUGGCCCUAGCGAUGCAGGACACGACUUAAUUAUGAUGUGUUUUAUGUCACCACAACUUGUUCAUAUAUGGUUGUUGAAGUAGUCAUAACUUUUGUGUAGAAGUAGAACAACUUGAACUGUGAUUCAGUACAUAUGUGGUUGUUGCUUUUGGAUGUUUACUGUGUUUCUUCUAGAUGAGUUCAUGUGAGUUAUGAAUUUCGUUCUUGUCUAAAGGCAACUAUCUACCGGGAGGAGCAUAAUGUAGUUGACUUGUACAUCAUUCUCCUUAGAUUUUUAAGAGAUCACGAGCUGUGUUGGAUGAGCUUGAAUCUUUGAAGCCCAAAUUUAAACAUCGGGUGGAAAAAAUGAAUGACUAGCAUGUAAAAGCUCCAUUGCCUGAAGAAAAUGGUUUCAAUAAAGCUUUGCAAAGUUGAGUGAAUUCAUUAUUGCAAUGGCCGACUGUCAAUAAACAGAUCUGUUAGUCUACCCCCUCCAAAUAAGGAGAGUUUGACCAAACAUGCAUUUUUAAGACCAAAUGGCCUUUGGGGCCAAUGGCUUGGACCUAGUGCAGAAAUAAAGGUUCAAUAUCGAAGGCCAGGACCAGCUAAAUCGUCUCAUGAUUCUGGACUUGAUGCAACUACGUAUCAACACCUACAUAUAGUAAACCUUUUCUAGUUUUCUAAUUGAACCUGUCAAAAUGAUGGAAGAUUUUAGGAGAUUAGCUUUGGAAAACACAAGGAAGAACUCGGAGACAUGUGGUGUUCUUGCAGGGUCCCUAGUAAGAGAUGUUGUAAUUUUGUGUGCUUCCAAGUUCUAGAAAAUCUCUUGGAUGGUGAUUUUAACAGUUAUUUGUGCUUGCAAUUUGGGUGGCUCUAGAAAAAAAGGUAUUUCAUAUCACAACACUUAUAACCCAAAGCAAGGAUCAACUUCAGACUCGUGUCAAACAAAACAUUGAACGAAGAAGAAAUAUUUGAAGUUCAAGACAGCUUAUCACUUUUUCCUUUUGGUUGGAUACAUUAAAAAACCUGAUAUGAAGCAUUGGUUUUUCUGCUUUUGUACCUCCAGAAUUCGAGACUUAUAUGGCAUUCACGAAUCACAAAUCACAAAUGUUGAUUUUUGGGACUACAAUCAAAUAAAAUUUGUAUAUUCUUGUAUUUAUAUCAAAUUACUAUUUAAGAAAUGUAUGUAAAUUGUUAACAUGUUAUUAGUUAUAUUAAAAUCUUCCGCCAUUAUUUCACAUUUGUA